GGGCCCGCACAAGCGGUGGAGCAUGUGGUUCAAUUCGAAGCAACGCGAAGAACCUUACCAGCCCUUGACAUGUCCCAUUUGGGUUUCAGAGAUGAGACCCUUCAGUUCGGCUGGCGGGAACACAGGUGCUGCA
rnacentral:rRNA from 1 species